GACGAACGCUGGCGGCGUGCUUAACACAUGCAAGUCGAACGAGGCCCCGCCUUCGGGUGGGUGUCCUAGUGGCGAACGGGUGAGUAACACGUGGCAACCUGCCCCCGGCUCUGGGAUAACCCCAAGAAAUUGGGGCUAAUACCGGAUAUGACCGCUGACCGCAUGGUCUGGUGGUGGAAAGUUUUUCGGCCGGGGAUGGGCCCGCGGCCUAUCAGCUUGUUGGUGGGGUAGUGGCCUACCAAGGCGACGACGGGUAGCCGGCCUGAGAGGGUGACCGGCCACACUGGGACUGAGACACGGCCCAGACUCCUACGGGAGGCAGCAGUGGGGAAUAUUGCGCAAUGGGCGGAAGCCUGACGCAGCGACGCCGCGUGGGGGAUGACGGCCUUCGGGUUGUAAACCUCUUUCAGCAGGGACGAAGCGCAAGUGACGGUACCUGCAGAAGAAGCACCGGCCAACUACGUGCCAGCCGCCGCGGUAAAAC
rnacentral:rRNA from 1 species